AGGAUCGCCUGGGUCAGGCCGUAGGCACCGAGAGCGAGCCCGACCAGCGUGUGGUCGCGGCCGCCGGGUAUCGUUUCCGCGUAGAGCGCGAGCACGGGCAGCACGAUGAACAUGCCGAGCAUCCGCAGACCGAAAAUGCCCGCCAGGCCGACGGUUGCGCGGCGUUCGACCGAGGUCAUCCGCACCUUCGGUGCGCGCGAAACCGGGGCGGCUGCUUCGGCGGAUGCGGGAUCGUGCGGCAUGGAAAAACGCGAAGGAACGAACGUCUUAGAAACCGCUCGCGAAUGGCGGUAUAGUAGCAGGUUGCCUCGUCGCCCGGCAUGCGUCGGACGGCUUAGGGCGAAAGUCCUAACAGCGGCGAACGUCUCCAGAAUCGACCGGCAUGGAAUACAUCCGCAUUCGCGGCGCCCGCACGCACAACCUCAAGAACGUCAACCUCGACCUGCCGCGCCAACGGCUGAUCGUCGUGACCGGACUUUCCGGAUCCGGCAAGAGCUCGCUCGCCUUCGACACGCUGUACGCCGAAGGCCAGCGCCGGUACGUCGAGUCGCUGUCCGCGUACGCGCGCCAGUUCCUGCAGUUGAUGGAGAAGCCCGACGUCGACCUGAUCGAGGGACUCUCCCCGGCGAUCUCGAUCGAGCAGAAGGCGACGUCGCACAAUCCGCGCUCGACCGUGGGAACGGUUACCGAGAUCCACGAUUAUCUGCGGCUCCUGUAUGCGCGCGUCGGGGAUCCGUAUUGCCCCGACCAUCCCGAGCAGAAGCUCGCCGCGAUGACCAUUUCGCAGAUGGUCGACGCGACGCUGUCGUUUCCCGAGGACACGAGGCUCAUGAUCCUCGCGCCGGUCGUCGUCAACCGGAAGGGCGAACAGCAGGAACUCUUCGUCGAGCUCCGCGCGAAGGGAUUCGUGCGCGUCCGCGUGGACGGCACGGUGCACGAAAUCGACGCGGUGCCGCGGCUCGCCAAGAACACGAAACAUACGGUCGAGGUCGUCGUCGACCGGCUGCGCGUGCGGCCGGACCUGAAGCAGAGGCUCGCCGAGUCCUACGAGACGGCACUGCGCAACGGCGACGGGCGCGCGAUCGCGGUCGAGAUGGACGGUGGCCGGGAGCACCUGUUCUCGG
rnacentral:misc_RNA from 1 species